rnacentral:rRNA from 1 species
AAUCAACGCUGGCGGCGUGCCUCAGACAUGCAAGUCGAACGCGAAAGUCCCCUUCGGGGGACAAGUAGAGUGGCGCACGGGCGAGUAACACGUAGGUAAUCUACCUUCGGAUGGGGAAUAACAACCGGAAACGGUUGCUAAUACCGCAUAAUGCAGCGGCACCUAAUGGUGACAGUUGUUAAAGCGGGGGAUCGAAAGACCUCGCGUCUGAAGAGGAGCCUGCGGCGAAUUAGCUAGUGGUAAGGUAAUGGCUUACCAAGGCGACGAUCCGUAGCCGGCCUGAGAGGACGACCAGCCACACUGGGACUGAGACACGGCCCAGACUCCUACGGGAGGCAGCAGUGGGGAAUAUUGGACAAUGGGCGCAAGCCUGAUCCAGCGAUGCCGCGUGUGUGAAGAAGGCCUGCGGGUUGUAAAGCACUUUCAGUAGGGAAG